GCCGUGGUGGUGGAAUUGGUAGACACGCUACCUUGAGGUGGUAGUGCCCACAAUGGGCUUACGGGUUCAAGUCCCGUCCUCGGUACCA
rnacentral:tRNA from 1 species